UGAAGGUUGAGUAACAUCAACUGGAGGACCGAACCGACUAAUGUUGAAAAAUUAGCGGAUGACUUGUGGCUAGGGGUGAAAGGCCAAUCAAACUCGGAGAUAGCUGGUUCUCCCCGAAAGCUAUUUAGGUAGCGCCUCGGACGAAUACUACUGGGGGUAGAGCACUGUUAAGGCUAGGGGGUCAUCCCGACUUACCAACCCUUUGCAAACUCCGAAUACCAGUAAGUACUAUCCGGGAGACACACGGCGGGUGCUAACGUCCGUCGUGGAGAGGGAAACAACCCAGACCGCCAGCUAAGGUCCCAAAGUAUUGCUAAGUGGGAAACGAUGUGGGAAGGCUCAGACAGCUAGGAUGUUGGCUUAGAAGCAGCCAUCAUUUAAAGAAAGCGUAAUAGCUCACUAGUCGAGUCGGCCUGCGCGGAAGAUGUAACGGGGCUAAGCAAUACACCGAAGCUGCGGCAAUAUCUUUUAGAUAUUGGGUAGGGGAGCGUUCUGUAAGCCGUUGAAGGUGAAUCGUAAGGUUUGCUGGAGGUAUCAGAAGUGCGAAUGCUGACAUGAGUAACGACAAAGGGGGUGAAAAACCUCCUCGCCGGAAGACCAAGGGUUCCUGUCCAACGUUAAUCGGGGCAGGGUGAGUCGACCCCUAAGGUGAGGCCGAAAGGCGUAAUCGAUGGGAAACGGGUUAAUAUUCCCGUACUUCUGACUAUUGCGAUGGGGGGACGGAGAAGGCUAGGUGGGCCAGGCGACGGUUGUCCUGGUUCAAGUGCGUAGGCUUGAGAGUUAGGUAAAUCCGGCUCUCUCUAAGGCUGAGACACGACGUCGAGCUGCUACGGCAGUGAAGUCAUUGAUGCCAUGCUUCCAGGAAAAGCCUCUAAGCUUCAGAUAGUCAGGAAUCGUACCCCAAACCGACACAGGUGGUCGGGUAGAGAAUACCAAGGCGCUUGAGAGAACUCGGGUGAAGGAACUAGGCAAAAUGGUACCGUAACUUCGGGAGAAGGUACGCUCUUGAUGGUGAAGUCCCUCGCGGAUGGAGCUGACGAGAGUCGCAGAUACCAGGUGGCUGCAACUGUUUAUUAAAAACACAGCACUGUGCAAAAUCGCAAGAUGACGUAUACGGUGUGACGCCUGCCCGGUGCCGGAAGGUUAAUUGAUGGGGUUAGCGCAAGCGAAGCUCUUGAUCGAAGCCCCGGUAAACGGCGGCCGUAACUAUAACGGUCCUAAGGUAGCGAAAUUCCUUGUCGGGUAAGUUCCGACCUGCACGAAUGGCGUAAUGAUGGCCACGCUGUCUCCACCCGAGACUCAGUGAAAUUGAAAUCGCUGUGAAGAUGCAGUGUACCCGCGGCUAGACGGAAAGACCCCGUGAACCUUUACUACAGCUUGGCACUGAACAUUGAACCUACAUGUGUAGGAUAGGUGGGAGGCUAUGAAGACGUGACGCCAGUUGCGUUGGAGCCGUCCUUGAAAUACCACCCUUGUAUGU
rnacentral:rRNA from 1 species